rnacentral:rRNA from 1 species
CAGCCGCCGCGGUAAUACAGAGGGUGCAAGCGUUAAUCGGAUUUACUGGGCGUAAAGGGCGCGUAGGUGGUUAUUUAAGUGAGAUGUGAAGGCCCCGGGCUUAACCUGGGAACUGCAUCUUAUACUGGGUAACUGGAGUGCAGUAGAGGGUAGUGGAAUUUCCGGUGUAGCGGUGAAAUGCGUAGAUAUCGGAAGGAACACCAGUGGCGAAGGCGGCUACCUGGACUGAGACUGACACUGAGGCGCGAGAGCGUGGGGAGCAAACAGGAUUAGAUACCCCCGUAGUCCCUGUCUCUUAUAC